GCUUCUCACUGGAAGCCUCGAGCUGCAUUCCUCUCCAUUCACAGGAAGGGAGCCGGCGUGUUGAGCGCACUAGUAGUCCGUGACGAGUGAAAAUGUCCUUAAGUUUUGGAAUUUAAUCAUGGCAUGGAUAUCUAACCCAAGGAUCACUUGAAUUUGUGAAACGUUCAAAUCCCAAUACAGGAUUGGGAACACCACUGUGUCCAAUAUUGUUAUGGAGACAUGUGAAGCCCUGCAUCAGGUCAUGAAGGAAGAAUUCCUGAAGGUGUGGCUUUUCACCACAGAGGACUACACCAGCAUCGGAGGCUGAAUGGCAGGCAAUUACCAAAUAUUUAGAAGAGAAAUGGCAGUUUCCGCAUUGCCUUGGUGCCCUUGAGUUUUUCAUACAACCCCCUAGCCAACAAUGGCAGUAUGUGUCACUACUACAUGUCUAGGUUCCCCAUCCUCAUGAUGGCUGCUGCGGAUGCAAACUAUGAGUUUAUGUUAUGCCAGUGUGGGCACCCGGAGCACAAUCUCCAAUGCUGGGCUGUUUUCUCACUCUGACUGCAGAAAAGCAAUGGACUGGGGCCUUCUAAAUGUUCUGCCACCUGAGCCACUAACUCAAAUGUUGUGGUUCUGUACAUGUUUGUGGGGGAUGAGGCGUACCCCCUGUGGACUGACCUGAUAAAGCCCUAUCCAUAUCGACAGAUGGACCACGACCAGAGAAGCCGCAACUAUCGCCUCAAGGGCAUGGCGAGUAGUUGAAAAUGCCUUUGGCAUCCUCGCUAACAGGCUGAGGUUGUUUAGGUCCACCAUUUGCCGUGAACCAGACAAGGUUACGAAGAUCACCAUGGCCUUCCUCUGCGUACACAACUUCCUCAUAGAGCGUAGGUCUGAGGCGUACACGCCACCAGCGUUUGCAGACUGGGAAGAUGCUGACCACUGGAUCAUCGAGGGAGCCUGGAGGAGACAUGGACUGUGGAGCCUGGAAGGGGAUGUUAACCCCACAAUCAGUGCAAAAGAGCAACGCAACCUGCUAAGGGAUUAUUUUGUAUCACCUGCAAGUCAGGUUCCAUGGCUGGAGGAUCACAUUUAAGUAAGUCAUGGACGCAAGGGCUGUUCAUAUUCUGUUGGAAGGUAGCCAUGCUUUACUGUGUGUAGCCUAAUGUCUAAGAAUGUAUGUAGUUACCACUAUUGAGUCUUGACUGACAAAUGUGAUGACAGCUGUACUUUCUUUUUCAAUACAGUAAUUGAAAUAAAGUUAUAUAAAAG
ensembl:lncRNA